rnacentral:rRNA from 1 species
AUUGAACGCUGGCGGCAUGCCUUACACAUGCAAGUCGAACGGCAGCACGGGUGCUUGCACCUGGUGGCGAGUGGCGAACGGGUGAGUAAUACAUCGGAACAUGUCCUGUAGUGGGGGAUAGCCCGGCGAAAGCCGGAUUAAUACCGCAUACGAUCUACGGAUGAAAGCGGGGGACCUUCGGGCCUCGCGCUAUAGGGUUGGCCGAUGGCUGAUUAGCUAGUUGGUGGGGUAAAGGCCUACCAAGGCGACGAUCAGUAGCUGGUCUGAGAGGACGACCAGCAACACUGGGACUGAGACACGGCCCAGACUCCUACGGGAGGCAGCAGUGGGGAAUUUUGGACAAUGGGCGAAAGCCUGAUCCAGCAAUGCCGCGUGUGUGAAGAAGGCCUUCGGGUUGUAAAGCACUUUUGUCCGGAAAGAAAGGCUUGGCCCUAAUACGGUCGGGGGAUGACGGUACCGGAAGAAUAAGCACCGGCUAACUACGUG